rnacentral:rRNA from 1 species
AAAAUACGGGAGGCAGCAGUGAGGAAUAUUGGUCAAUGGACGGAAGUCUGAACCAGCCAAGUAGCGUGCAGGAUGACGGCCCUAUGGGUUGUAAACUGCUUUUGUAUGGGGAUAAAGUUAGGGACGUGUCCCUAUUUGCAGGUACCAUACGAAUAAGGACCGGCUAAUUCCGUGCCAGCAGCCGCGGUAAUUUUU